rnacentral:rRNA from 1 species
AUAAUACCGGAUAGUCCUGACAAAGGUAAAGUAUUUUUCGGUUUAGGGAGGGGCCUGCGGCCUAUCAGCUAGUUGGUAAGGUAAUGGCCUACCAAGGCUAUGGACGGGUAGCUGAUCUGAGAGGAUGAUCAGCCAGAAGUGGGACUGAGACACCGGCCCAUACUCCGUACGGGAGGCAGCAGUGAGGAAUAUUCCGCAAUGGGGGAAACCCUGACGGAGCGACACCGCGUGGAGGAUGACGACUUUUUAGUUGUAAACUCCUGUCCUGAGGGAAGAAAUUUUUGACUGUACCUCAGAAGAAAGCACCGGCUAAUUCUGUG